rnacentral:rRNA from 1 species
GACGAACGCUGGCGGCGUGCUUAACACAUGCAAGUCGAACGGAAAGGCCCUGCUUUUGCGGGGUGCUCGAGUGGCGAACGGGUGAGUAACACGUGAGUAACCUGCCCUUGACUUUGGGAUAACUUCAGGAAACUGGGGCUAAUACCGGAUAGGAGCUCCUGCUGCAUGGGGGGGGUUGGAAAGUUUCGGCGGUUGGGGAUGGACUCGCGGCUUAUCAGCUUGUUGGUGGGGUAGUGGCUUACCAAGGCUUUGACGGGUAGCCGGCCUGAGAGGGUGACCGGCCACAUGGGGACUGAGAUACGGCCCAGACUCCUACGGGAGGCAGCAGUGGGGAAUAUUGCACAAUGGGCGGAAGCCUGAUGCAGCAACGCCGCGUGCGGGAUGACGGCCUUCGGGUUGUAAACCGCUUUCGCCUGUGACGAAGCGUGAGUGACGGUAAUGGGUAAAGAAGCACCGGCUAACUACGUG